rnacentral:lncRNA from 1 species
AUGGAAGAUAGAUUUGAUUCCACAGAGGGGAGCUGCCCUGGGAAGACCUCAAGGAUGGCCCAGACCUACCAUUUCUUCGGGGUCCACUUGCUUUCUCCAGUGGGCACUAAUGCUGUGUCUGGGUCCUGGCAGCACUCUGGACUCCACACACUCCUGGGUUUCACCUUUGUAGCGCGAUCCCUGCAGACCAGGCCCAUGACAGACACUGUCUCCAGUGGGCAGAGCAAAGGCGGCGCAGCACCAGGCAGUGGUGCAGUUGCCUGUCAGGAAGAGGCCGACUUCUCCUGGUGAAACUGGGCAGACAGAAGGCAGUGAGAAAUGCCAUCUCGGGGUGGUGGAGGCUCUCGGGAAAGGAAAAGGCAGGACUGAACUUCCACACAGCAGCAAUGGCCGAACCAAAGGUGGCAUUGACCUGCACGAGGGCUCAGAUCCAGGCUGGCAGCUUGGCCAGGACGGGGCCGGGUGUGUCACUGGUCCAGGAACACUAUGCUGGCAGAAUCCCUUCGGUGCCUGAUGGUCCUGCCUUUGUGGGAACGGAGGCUCAGGCUUUGAGUCACAGCUGCCUCCCCAACAGCACAUUUCCAUGUCAUCUUCCUCCCCUUCCUCAGCCUCAGGUGGGAGACAGGGCAGGCAGCCCCCCUUUCCUCUUCUCCCCUUCUCCAACCCCCGUCUGUCCACCCAGCCGGAGGCAGCCAGGCCUGCCUAUGGACCGGUUGGCAGCCUUCAUGCGCAGGUUCUCCACCAGCGCCUUUCUUGGGGGCCCCGGGCUGGGGCUCUGAGCUGCGGAGUGCAGGGGAUGACGUGCAGGAGGAGAGUGGCACUGAGGCACCUCACUGAGAGUUUGAUACCACAGAAAGCUUUCUCUGGGAGAAGUGCAAUCCCGUGCCUCAAAGGCACAGCAGUGAGACAGGACAGCAGUACCACCUAGUGGACACCAAUGGGCCCACCUGAGCUGACCCUUUCUGACUUGGGGCCCCAGGAGACAACAGGACUGAUGGUGCAUCUCUCCCCAGGCCCUGUCUCAUCCCAACACCUAGGGCACAAGAGGCUGGGGCAGGUGUCCUUACCCGCUUCAUGGUGCCUCCCAGGUGGUGCCCCCCAGGCCUUCCUUCACCACUUGGGUAAAGUGCACGGCUGCUCUCCACACAGAUGUGAGCUCUGCUGCCCUCUGCCCAGGCCGACCUGGGUAUGGGGAAGGGUCUGGAGAGGCAGGGGGAGACCCCUGAGAUCCCUCCUCUGGGCAUGAUUUGUAGGAGGAGAGGAGAUCACAGAGAAAAACAUCUGCACAGCCUCUGUCAUCUCCUUAGUGAAAUGAGAGCCCCCAUUACUCACACACACGAUACCCUUUUUAUUUGGCCUUUCCUGACUAGGAAAACUUCUAAACAUGGUUUCUUAAACAUUUUAGACGGUAACCAGCAGACAUAGAUACAUUUUCUGGUGAGACUCAGUGCACACAUACAUAUAUUGACAAUCACACAAGUGUUUGAAGACACUGCUUAUAAUAAAGCUGCCCAGAAGAGGGCACUGUUGGCAAAUCUAGGCCCGAGAUUUUUGGUCCUUGCUGGAAUAUUUGGAGUAUUUUAGUUGCAGACCUAGAUGUGUUAGAAAGUGGUGACAUCCAUUUGGUCAGCUAUGACUGGCUUUUAAAAGAAUAGCGCAGUGUAGCACAAUACAAACUAUCAGUGUGCAUCACAUGUCACAAAGGUAAGUGCUGUGCUGCAAAACAUUUGCUAAAUUGAUAAAGAUGUGAGUAUCUAGAGGGUCUCCCUGUGAAACAUCUUUAUGACUGUGGGUAAAGAUGUGAGUAUCUAGGGGGUCUUCUUGUGAAAUGUCUUUAUGACUGUGGGAAGAAUUCACAGAAGUUUGAGACACUGUUUUAGAAGCUUCUUGAAACAACUUCAGAGUGAGAACAGCGUUGUAGGUUUUUGAAGAAAGGAAAGGUGUGGCUGGAGGUGGUGGGAGGGAGCACCAAGCCUCAAACACCAGGGAGUGUGGGGAGAGUGGCAGCCAGGUCAGCACAGCACGCAGCUUCUGGGGGUUCAGUGUUUUCUUCUCAGAACAGGAUGCGAGGAGUAGCAGAGGCAACUCCUCUUCCUCUCACGUAGAAAGAAGACUAGUGAGUAAGGAAAAACAUGGAAAUAUUCAACACCCAGUUCUUAGAGAUGGCACCAAAAUAAUAAUUUAUAGAAAUAAAAACUGAUAAAAUGGGCUUCAUGAAAAUGGAGGCCUUUUGCUCUGUGAAGCAUCGUAUUGAGAGGAUGAAAAGACACACUGCAGACCGAGUGAAAAUAACCACAACCACAUAUCCAACAAAGGACUUUUAUCUGGAAUCUAUGAAGAACUCUCAAAACUCAAUACAUUUUUUAAAAAUCCCAUGAGAAAUGAGACAAAAGACAUCGACAGACAUUUCACCAAAGUAGCUGAACAGCAAAUGUGCACAUGUAAAUAUGGUCAGCACCACUGGCCAUUACAGAAAUGCACAUUAAAACCACAAUGAGCUCUCACUAUGCCAGUUAGAAUGGGUAAGAUAAAAAAUAACACCAAGUGCUAGCAGGAAAGCAAGAAAACUGAACAUCUCAUACAUCGCCAGUGUGACUGAAAAAUGGUACAGCCACUUUAGAAAAGAAUUUGGCAGUUUCUUAAAAAACCAAACAUGUACUUCCCAUGUGACUCAGUAACUGUAUUCUUUGGCAUUUACCCCAAAGAAUGAAAAUUCAGGUUCACAAAAACCUGUACAUGCAUGUUCCUAAGAGCUUUAUUCAGAAUAGCCUCACAGUGGAAACCACCCAAACAUCUUUCAAUGGUGAAGGAGUCAACAAACUCUAGGAUAUCCAUACAAGAGAAUACCACCCAGGAGUAAAAAGAAAUCAACCACUGAUACAGGCCACAACCUGGAGGAUCAUAACAGCAGGAAACUUGGUGGAAAAGGCCAGCCUUAUAAAAGGUUACACACUACACGGUUCCACAUACAUAACAUCCUCCAUAUGACAAAACUAGAGAUGGAGAACAGAGAACAGAUUUGUGGCUGCCAGGGACACAGGGGCAAUGUGUGGGGAUGUGACUCAAAAGAAGAAUGACAAGGGAGGUGAGUUCUACUCAGUGAGGAAACAGUUCUGUGGCAAUGGCAGGGGUGGAGAUGGUUACAAGAUACUACACAUGAGAUCACCAUGCAUAGCACACACACACACACACACACACACACACACACACACACACACACAGUGCAUAUAAACACCGAAGGCUGCAUAAGGUCCAUAGUCUGACAAGGUCGGUAGUCUUAACAAUAGUCAACCAAUGCCAAUGCCUGGUUGGAUGGUGUCCUGCUGUUCUGUGAGACGGCACUGUUAGGGGAAGCCAAGUGAGUCAUCCAAGAGAUUCCCUCUACUACUUUUGCAACUACCUGUGAACCCAUAAUUAUAUUUAAAAAAGUUAAGAAGAGAACUAGCAGAUAGCAACAACAUGAUUGAUUAGAGUCAGACCAAUGCCUACCCAUAGGGGACUGAUCAGAUAAACUAUAGUCCAUCCACACAAUGUAUGCAGCCAUAAAAAAUAAGGAAUAUAUUUGCCACCUGGUGUGCACAAGUGAUAAAAGCAAGAUUCAGAGCACUGGAGAGACUGCACUACCUACUGUGUGAGAAAAAAGGGGAAAUCAGAAUGUACCAGAAACACAUAUUUGCUUCUUUCCACAAUAAAAAUGGCAAGGACAAAUCAGAAGCCAGUGAACAUGGUUCUCCCUAGGGGUGACUGAGGAGCAGGUUAAGUAUAGGGAAAAGAAAGAUCAGACUGUUACUGUGUCUAUGUAGAAAAGGAAGACAUAAGAAACUCCAUUUUGAUCUGUACCCUGAACAAUUGUUUUGCCUUGAGAUGCUGUUAAUCUGUAACUUUAGCCCCAACCCUGUGCUCACAGAAACGUGUGCUGUAUGGAAUCAAGGUUUAAGGGAUCUAGGGCUGUGCAGGAUGUGCCUUGUUAACAGUAUGUUUACAGGCAGUGUGCUGGGUAAAAGUCAUCACCAUUCUCCAUUCUCAAUUAACCAGGGGCACAAUGCACUGCAGAAAGCUGCAGGCACCUUUGCCCAGGAAAGCUGGGUAUCGUCCAAGGUUUCUCCCCACUGAGACAGCCUGAGAUAUGGCCUCAUGGGACGUGAAAGACCUGACCAUCCCCCAGCCCGACACCUGUGAAGGGUCUGUGCUGAGAAGGAUGAGUAAAAGAGGAAGGCCUCUUGUGAUUGGGGUAAGAGGAAGGCCUCUGUCUCCUGCAUGCCCCUGGGAAUGGAAUGACUUGGUAUAAAACCCGGUUGUACAUUCGUUCUAUUCUGAGAUAGGAGAAGACCGCCCUGUGGCUGGAGG